rnacentral:piRNA from 1 species
UAGGUCCUUUCUGAGCCCCUGGACUGAGUC